UCUUAGAGGUACAGGGGGAUCUGUAACCCCAACAGGGAUACGUCCUUAGUGUGGAUAAUGAUAAUGAAGUUCCUUAUGACAUGAUUAUGUUGUUAGCUUUGUGUAGCAUUUGGAGAUCACGUAUGGCUGUUCGACAUGCUGACCUCGACGCAAAAGAAGUGCGGAUAUAUUUCUUCAACCUUGUAAAACAAGUACAGAGUGUGAAUUUGAACUGUGAGCCUGAACCGGAGUGGACUAGUAUUUUAAAAUCACUCCUCGAAAUGCGUGAUUUUUAAUACGCUGUGCAAAAGAGCUGUACAGCGCUGUUAGAAUGACAUGAAUGUUGCUGUAACCACCAUGCAAUAAAGGAAACAAAAGGGAUCGGUGGCCGAGUGGGCUAAAGCGCACACCCAUGCAGCUCGACGCGCGUGGAGCGAAAGCUCGCGUUGCAGAACCCUGGGAUCCUGGGUUCGAGCCCCACCCCUGCCCGUUUUUUAAUCUGGAUGAGCAUCGUACCGGCGUGCGGUCGUGUAUCACUACUGCGUGGUGCACGUUAAAGACCUCAGACUAGCGGUUGUACUGCACUGGCUAAAUUACUCAUCUACAGCGUGUGACUCGUCGCAACUUUAAUGGCUGACCAACUACACGCUGUAUAAAUAUCCCCAUAACCCAAUUUGCUUUUUGCUUAGAAGGACAAGCGGCUCCUAGCCGCACGAAACAGAGCCAUAACAGGUCUGUGGUGCCCUUAGAUGUCCGGGGCCGCACGCGGGCUACACUGAAGGAAGCAGCGUGUUUUUAUCCUUGUCUGCUAAGACAGUAAGGUUAGAAAAAAGUGACUUGAGCAAAUACAGAGGGCUAAUCAAAGCCCAUCGAAUUACUUUCAAGAAAGGGCUCGCCUGUUUAAAUAACAGGGCAUAGAAAA
rnacentral:ncRNA from 1 species